GCGCCCAUAGCUCAGCGGAUAGAGUGCCCGGCUACGAACCGGUAGGUCGAGGGUUCGAAUCCCCCUGGGCGCGCCA
rnacentral:tRNA from 1 species